UGGACACUUGGGGAAAACUGAACUGGCCGCUGUGGCACUGGCUAUUGCUGUUAUUAAUGUGACUGGCAUCUCCAUCGGCUCUGGAUUGGCAUCUGCAUGCGAUACACUCAUCUCUCAGACGUUUGGCAGUA